GACGAACGCUGGCGGCGUGCCUAAUACAUGCAAGUCGAGCGAAGUUUUUCUGGUGCUUGCACCGGAAAAACUUAGCGGCGAACGGGUGAGUAACACGUAAAGAACCUGCCUCAUAGACUGGGACAACUAUUGGAAACGAUAGCUAAUACCGGAUAACAGCAUUAACUGCAUGGUUGAUGUUUAAAAGUUGGUUUUGCUAACACUAUGAGAUGGCUUUGCGUUGCAUUAGCUAGUUGGUGGGGUAAAGGCCUACCAAGGCGACGAUGCAUAGCCGACCUGAGAGGGUGAUCGGCCACACUGGGACUGAGACACGGCCCAGACUCCUACGGGAGGCAGCAGUAGGGAAUCUUCCGCAAUGGGCGAAAGCCUGACGGAGCAACGCCGCGUGAGUGAAGAAGGAUUUCGGUUCGUAAAGCUCUGUUGUUAGGGAAGAAUGAUUGUGUAGUAACUAUACACAGUAGAGACGGUACCUAACCAGAAAGCCACGGCUAACUACGUG
rnacentral:rRNA from 1 species